rnacentral:rRNA from 1 species
UACGUAGGAUGCAAGCGUUGUCCGGAAUUAUUGGGCGUAAAGAGCGCGCAGGCGGUCUAUCAAGUCAGAUGUGAAAUAUCCCGGCUUAACCGGGAGGGGUCAUUUGAAACUGGUAGACUAGAGUACAGCAGAGGAUAGUGGAAUUCCCGGUGUAGUGGUGAAAUGCGUAGAUAUUGGGAAGAACACCGGUGGCGAAGGCGGCGACCUGGUCCGAUACUGACGCUGAGGCGCGAAAGCGUGGGGAGCAAACAGG